rnacentral:misc_RNA from 1 species
GAAAUGCGAUAAGUAAUGUGAAUUGCAGAAUUCAGUGAAUCAUCGAUUCUUUGAACGCACAUUGCGCCCGCCAGUAUUCUGGCGGGCAUGCCUGUUCGAGCGUCAUUUCAACCAUCAAGCCCCCGGGCUUGUGUUGGGGACCUGCGGCUGCCGCAGGCCCCGAAAACCAGUGGCGGGCUCGCUGUCACACCGGGCGUAGUAGAUUUUUCGUCUCGCCCAGGGCGUGCUGCGGGUUCCGGCCGUUAAAAAGCCUCUCUUUUAACCCAAGGUUGACCUCGGAUCAGGUAGGAAGACCCGCUGAACUUAAGC